GGAAUAUUGCGCCAUGGGCGGAAGCCUGACGCAGCGACGCCGCGUGGGGGAUGACGGCCUUCGGGUUGUAAACCUCUUUCAGCAGGGACGAAGCGGAAGUGACGGUACCUGCAGAAGAAGCACCGGCCAACUACGUGCCAGCAGCCGCGGUAAUACGUAGGGUGCAAGCGUUGUCCGGAAUUAUUGGGCGUAAAGAGCUCGUAGGCGGUUUGUUGCGUCGGCUGUGAAAACCUGAGGCUCAACCUCAGGCCUGCAGUCGAUACGAGCAAACUGGAGUGUUGCAGGGGAGACUGGAAUUCCUGGUGUAGCGGUGAAAUGCGCAGAUAUCAGGAGGAACACCGGUGGCGAAGGCGGGUCUCUGGGCAACAACUGACGCUGAGGAGCGAAAGCGUGGGGAGCGAACAGGA
rnacentral:misc_RNA from 1 species